rnacentral:lncRNA from 1 species
GCUAGGGAAAGCCUUCAUGGAAAGGGUUUCAUCUUUCUGAACAUUCACCACACUGGAUUUGAUGAUCAAGAGCUCUCAAACUGCACCUGGAUACUAAUUCUGAAUGGAAACUUACAAUUGUAAGGGUGGACAAAUCCUUUUUGUGUGAGGAAGAUGUGGCUGUUGGGAGAGUCAAGUAAUUGAAUGACGUGAAUUUCCUGGAGUUUCCAUAAGUUCCUGUAAAUUUAGCCUCCAACUGAAAUAAACCAACUGGAAUGUAAGACAUCAGACCCUAAAGAACCAAAGUUGUUAUUUCUGUGGAAGACCAGCCAACCUAUUCUCACAGCUGAAACAAUGGAUCUGGCCUGCAGAGUGUUAAGGCAUUCUCCAAGUUUCAAAACAAGAGUACACCAUUUUGAAGGCCUAUAAAUAGAAAGAAUUUUUCAAAUAUUAAUUCAGUAAUGACCUCUGUCUUUGGAAAAGAUAAUUGCAAUGUGUUACUGCGAACCAAUUUAAACCUGUAUUUCUCAUUGCAUUUAAUAUUUAAUUUUGUUUUUUAUCAUUAUAUAUCAACAGUUCUUUCUGGAGCAAAGCAAUCCUAUUUGACUUUUUUUUUUUUUAACCUUAUAGUGCACACACACAUGUAUGUGUAGGGUUAUUUAAACAAGGAAACAUUUACAUCAAAAUGUGCAAAGAGUUAUCCUGGAAUAGAAAUGCUGAAAAUAUAUUUUCAAGAAGUUUUAAAAUUCUAGGCUGGCCUCAAUGUAUUCAGUAGCAUGCCAGAAACAGAAAAAAAAAUUUAAUCUCUCCAUUUGCUUAUUCCUAUUAACAUAUAUAGAAAAAAAACUUGCUCUAAACCUAAUGCCUAUGCGAUAUGUUUGUUUCCUGAUGCUGAUGAUAAAUCAUAACCGGGCACUUGGUUAUAUUUUUUAAUGUUCUACAUUUCUAGCACUGCUACUGUAUUCACAAUGAGCUUUAUAUCUGACAGUAAUUUUAUUUUCAGGUUCAGUCAUAUGAUGCCUUUCUAUAGGAAUAGGUUCUAUCACAGGAACAAAUUAUUCAAAUCUAGUUUAACGGACUCAGCAAUUCUCCUCAGUUUUAUCUUGGGCAUUUUGUAUUCCUUUGCCUAAACCUAGUGGCUAUGUAACAAUUCAAUUACCAAAGUCCUUCAUCCAGAAAGUGCUGUUGAUUUCCAGUAAUUCUUAUUCUGUUUGAUUUCUUUUUUUUUUCCUCCUAGUUUAACACAUGCCAGUUGGUGUCGACUGAGUUAAAAAUCUUGAAAUAAGCCUGGCACUGUGUCAGUACAUAGGUUAAAAAAUGAAACAAAAAAAUUUAAUAAAAUAUACGCUAGAAAUGGAAAAUAAGAUUAGCAGUGGCAUUUCUUGUCAUAAGGACAUUUUCUGUCUAUGCACACAAAAUAAAACCAGCUCAGUGUAGCUGAAGAAGAGAGGAAAGAGAGAGGUGGUAUAAAUUGAAAGACGAAAAGGCAGAGACUGAGUGUACAGAAGCGCGUUGAGAGCAUGCAGUCAGCUGGCAAGAAAAGGCAACUCGAAGAGCCUCAGAAGGUAAAACCUCAGUUGGCAGAUAAAGUGGGUAAGAAGCAAGUUUUGAAAUAAAAUAGCAAUAGCAUAAGCAACUUGAAGGAAGAUGAAAAGAGCAAGGUGAUAAAAGUAUGCAAGAGUCUUUGGAGAUUAUUAGUAAUUUUAGGGAAUUACAAUGAUGAAAAGUUAUAAGGGAAAAAGACUUUACAUAUUCUUUAAUAAAAGAAAAUU